GAGAUCUUCAUUUUUCAGCAUGACAAUGAGGCUAGAGAUCCAGCAGAGAUGCCUUCAGAGGCAUGUUGCAGACUAACUCUGAACUUGUGCUGGACCUGUGGACCUGUGGACCUGGGGUCUUGUGGUUCUGUGGUUCUGUGGAUCUGUGGUCCUGGAGACCUACAAAUCUGUGGUCCACAUGAGCUGCAGUACCCAGCACGGCAGAGCUACUGCAGACAGACUGGUCCGUCCAGUGGUGUGGGCUCUGGGGAUGCCAUCAGGACCAGUGACAGGACCCAGCCUGAUCUUGUGUGUGUCCAUAGUUACUGUCCCAGUACAUGUUCCUCUGGGUUCCGAAGUCUCUGGCUAUUGUCUCCAGGAUCGGUUACUCAUCCAUGGAGAUCUGCGGGCCUAAAAAGAGCUUGCAGCCUGUUUCCCCAAGGAGCUGUGUGUCCUCACAGCUGCGAGACAGCACUGCAGUGUGAGUGUGCGAUCAGGUCUCCAGGGCAGGUGCCCCACACACACUCCGGCAUCGUUAUGAGGACGUGAAUUAGCUGCUGCCUUCAGAGAAGGGGACUCCCAUGAUGUCCUCACAGCUUGCAUUAUGAGGCUGCUGCUGUUCCUUCCAGAUGGAGGCUCCUCCAGCUGGGCCUGUGAUGUGGGCAGCAGUUUGAAGUGCAGGAGCUCACCAGCUGCGCCACAACCACAUGGAAUACAGAGCUUUGCUGCCACCUAGCGCCCAGCCUGGCGAACUGCGAGCCUCGCUGGUGACCCGUUCACGCCGCCUGUCUGCGCCUCGUCACUGCCCGAGAGUCCCGACCUAAAGAAAUCUGUUCUCUUCCUGUCCAGGGAAUGCGUGUUCCCACCCCCAGGAACGCGGACGCAGCUGUGUAAACGUCCUCACGCUCAGAGAAGCGGUAAGUUUGAUCUUACAGACACCAUCGAGAAAUCUUAAUCGAGUGCCAACAACUCUUCUUAUGCUUUCAUUCACGCGUGUUUAUAUCACGUGCGGUGCUGUAUCAUCCAGCAGCCAUAUCACCC